rnacentral:rRNA from 1 species
UACGUAGGGGCCGAGCGUUGUCCGGAUUUACUGGGCGUAAAGAGCGCGCAGGCGGUCGUUCAAGUCGCGUGUGAAAGCCCCCGGCUCAACUGGGGAGGGUCACGCGAUACUGAUCGACUCGAAGGCAGGAGAGGGUAGUGGAAUUCCCGGUGUAGUGGUGAAAUGCGUAGAUAUCGGAAGGAACAUCAGUGGCGAAAGCGGCUUCCUGGUCCAGCACCGACGUUCAGGCACGAAAGCGUGGGGAGCAAACAGG